AAACUUUCAACAACGGAUCUCUUGGUUCUCGCAUCGAUGAAGAACGCAGCGAAAUGCGAUAAGUAGUGUGAAUUGCAGAAUUCAGUGAAUCAUCGAAUCUUUGAACGCACAUUGCGCCUCCUGGUAUUCCGGGGAGGCAUGCCUGUUCGAGCGUCAUUA
rnacentral:rRNA from 1 species